rnacentral:rRNA from 1 species
CAGCCGCCGCGGGAAUACGUAGGGUGCGAGCGUUAAUCGGAAUUACUGGGCGUAAAGCGUGCGCAGGCGGUUCGUUAAGACAGAUGUGAAAUCCCCGGGCUUAACCUGGGAACUGCAUCUGUGACUGGCGGGCUAGAGUAUGGCAGAGGGGGGUAGAAUUCCACGUGUAGCAGUGAAAUGCGUAGAGAUGUGGAGGAAUACCGGUGGCGAAGGCAGCCCCCUGGGCCAAUACUGACGCUUAUGCACGAAAGCGUGGGGAGCAAACAGGAUUAGAUACCCCCGUAGUCCCUGUCUCUUAUAA